CAGAGCUCUGUGCUAAUGAAUAUUUUUGGCAGCCAACGAGAGGCAAAAUGGAGUCUCCCGGGAAACUUCCUUACUCAGAGGACAACUAGAUUCAAAGCCAGCCAAGCCAGGAGCAGAAGAAUUUGGAGAGAUUUCAAGGGCUGCGUAAGCCAGAGCGACCCCUAUUCGAGAAGCAACACAUUCAGCUCCUGUGGUCAACACAACUUCUCUGACACAGUCGCUUACCUACCAUGCCUCCAAAGCCCUGGGCGCUGUAUCAGGCCUGGGACGUAAAGACGGCCUGGAACAAGGAGUAAGGACUUGGAGCCAGCCCAGCCUAUGUCAUGGCCCCGCUAUGGAGCGGCUGUGAUGGGGAGCUGCCGCCUGAGCAUGGCCCCGGGUCCUGUUUUUGCUGAGAGAAGGAACCGAUGGCUGCUUGGAUUUCGCAGAGCGGCACCUCCAGGCCAGCCGGAAUCAGGGCUCCCCGGUCAAAGGCCCCCCAGAAGAGCUCACCGUAGAAGCCGUGCUAAGGGAGGGGGGUUCGGUUUCAAUGUCCUGCCGAACCGGA